rnacentral:tRNA from 1 species
GGAGGCGUAGCUCAGCUGGUUAGAGCGUUCGGUUCACAUCCGAAAGGUCGAGGGUUCGAGUCCCCCCGUCUCCACCA